AAAAAAGGGGGGAAAAAAUUGUUCUUUUCUGCGGAGAAAAAGAAAAAUAAAGUGUUUUUUUUUUUCUUUUUUUUCUUUUUUUUUUUUUU
rnacentral:ribozyme from 1 species